GCAGAGUAAAUCGGUAUGCGUUAAGUGCCGUGUGAACGGGGAGUUGUCACAUGGACGAAAAGAGGAAUCUUGCGGCAUACGGAUUGCAUCCCGCUGU
rnacentral:ncRNA from 1 species